GAACAUAUUGAUGGAAACAUGUCAUGAGAGCAUAUAAUAAGAGCCCCUCUAGAUAAACUAUAAUGAGCAAUCAAUAGUAGAACAUCAUCAUUUUAAUUUCCAAGUGGAACUCAAAAUAGAUUAUAAUUACAUUUCAGAAUACUCUCAACGUUUGGAUUCUUGAUGAACUUAUGGAAUGGUCGACAACAACACUUGAAAAUUGCCAAGAUACACACACACACACACACACACACACACACACACACACACACACACACACACACACACACACACACACACACACACACACACACACACACACACACACACAAACAAACACACACACACACACACACACACACACACACACACACACACACACACACACACACACACACACACACACACACACAU
rnacentral:lncRNA from 1 species